GCCACGAUCGCAUAAUCCGGUAUUGCGCUGGCCUUGAGAGCCAGUCCCUUUGGGAUUGCCGGUUCAAAUCCGGCUCGUGGCG
rnacentral:tRNA from 1 species